GUCGUAACAAGGUUUCCGUAGGUGAACCUGCGGAAGGAUCAUUACCGAGUGAGGGCCCUCUGGGUCCAACCUCCCACCCGUGUUUAUUUUACCUUGUUGCUUCGGCGGGCCCGCCUUAACUGGCCGCCGGGGGGCUCACGCCCCCGGGCCCGCGCCCGCCGAAGACACCCUCGAACUCUGUCUGAAGAUUGAAGUCUGAGUGAAAAUAUAAAUUAUUUAAAACUUUCAACAACGGAUCUCUUGGUUCCGGCAUCGAUGAAGAACGCAGCGAAAUGCGAUACGUAAUGUGAAUUGCAAAUUCAGUGAAUCAUCGAGUCUUUGAACGCACAUUGCGCCCCCUGGUAUUCCGGGGGGCAUGCCUGUCCGAGCGUCAUUGCUGCCCUCAAGCCCGGCUUGUGUGUUGGGCCCCGUCCUCCGAUCUCCGGGGGACGGGCCCGAAAGGCAGCGGCGGCACCGCGUCCGGUCCUCGAGCGUAUGGGGCUUUGUCACCCGCUCUGUAGGCCCGGCCGGCGCUUGCCGAUCAACCCAAAUUUUUAUCCAGGUUGACCUCGGAUCAGGUAGGGAUACCCGCUGAACUUAAGCAUAUCAAUAUCAAUAAGC
rnacentral:rRNA from 1 species